GUUCCAGCCUCCAGGCCCUGCCUUCUGCCUGCACAUUCUGCCCUGAUUUCCGGAACCUGGAAGCCUAGGCAGGCAGUGGGGAACUCUGACUCGCCUGUGCUCUGGAGCUUGAUCCGAAAGCUUCCACAGUGAGGACUGCUCCGUGGGGUCCUGCUCCGCUUCGCAGUGGAAUGGAACGGAUUUAGAAGCCUGCAGUAGGGGAGUGGGGAGUGGAGAGAGGGAGCCCAGAGUUACAGACGGCGGCGAGAGGCCCCAAAGAGUCUGAUGUUUACAAGACCAGAAAUGCCACGGCCGCGUCCUGGCAGAGAAAAGGCUGAAAUGGAGGACCGGCGCCUUCCUUAUAAGCUCGUUGGGGCCUAAGCCAGUACCGACCUGGUAGAAAAAGCAACCACGAAGCUAGAGAGAGAGCCAGAGGAGGGAAGAGAGCGCCAGACGAAGGUGAAAGCGAACCACGCAGAGAAAUGCAGGCAAGGGAGCAAGGCGGCAGUUCCCGGAACAAACGUGGCAGAGGGCAAGACGGGCACUCACAGACAGAGGUUUAUGUAUUUUUAUUUUUUAAAAUCUGAUUUGGUGUUCCAUGAGGAAAAGGGAAAAUCUAGGGAACGGGAGUACAGAGAGAAUAAUCCGGGUCCUAGCUCGCCACAUGAACGCCCAGAGAACGCUGGAAAAACCUGAGCGGGUGCCGGGGCAGCACCCGGCUCGGGUCAGCCACUGCCCCACACCGGGCCCACCAAGCCCCGCCCCUCGCGGCCACCGGGGCUUCCUUGCUCUUCUUAUCAUCUCCAUCUUUAUGAUGAGGCUUGUUAACAAGACCAGAGAGCUGGCCAAGCACCUCUAUCUCAGCCGCGCCCGCUCAGCCGAGCAGCGGUCGGUGGGGGGACUGGGAGGCGCUAAUUAAUUGAUUCCUUUGGACUGUAAAAUAUGGCGGCGUCUACACGGAACCCAUGGACUCAUAAACAAUAUAUCUGUUGGGCGUGAGUGCACUGUCUCUCAAAUAAUUUUUCCAUAGGCAAAUGUCAGAGGGUUCUGGAUUUUUAGUUGCUAAGGAAAGAUCCAAAUGGGACCAAUUUUAGGAGGCCCAAACAGAGUCCGUUCAGUGUCAGAAAAUGCUUCCCCAAAGGGGUUGGGAGUGUGUUUUGUUGGAAAAAAGCUUGGGUUAUAGGAAAGCCUUUCCCUGCUACUUGUGUAGACCCAGCCCAAUUUAAGAAUUACAAGGAAGCGAAGGGGUUGUGUAGGCCGGAAGCCUCUCUGUCCCGGCUGGAUGCAGGGGACUUGAGCUGCUCCGGAAUUUGAGAGGAACAUAGAAGCAAAGGUCCAGCCUUUGCUUCGUGCUGAUUCCUAGACUUAAGAUUCAAAAACAAAUUUUUAAAAGUGAAACCAGCCCUAGCCUUUGGAAGCUCUUGAAGGUUCAGCACCCACCCAGGAAUCCACCUGCCUGUUACACGCCUCUCCAAGACACAGUGGCACCGCUUUUCUAACUGGCAGCACAGAGCAACUCUAUAAUAUGCUUAUAUUAGGUCUAGAAGAAUGCAUCUUGAGACACAUGGGUAACCUAAUUAUAUAAUGCUUGUUCCAUACAGGAGUGAUUAUGCAGUGGGACCCUGCUGCAAACGGGACUUUGCACUCUAAAUAUAGACCCCAGCUUGGGACAAAAGUUGCAGUAGAAAAAUAGACAUAGGAGAACACUUAAAUAAGUGAUGCAUGUAGACACAGAAGGGGUAUUUAAAAGACAGAAAUAAUAGAAGUACAGAAGAACAGAAAAAAAAUCAGCAGAUGGAGAUUACCAUUCCCAAUGCCUGAACUUCCUCCUGCUAUUAAGAUUGCUAGAGAAUUGUGUCUUAAAC
rnacentral:lncRNA from 1 species